GGCCUGGUGGCGUAGUUCGUAACGCGCCGUUUGAACGUACUCUAGCGCGGAGGACACAUUUUCGACAGAGCCCCUUGUUCGAAUCGAGGCCUGGCCU